GGCCGGGUAGGGACUCCGCCCCUGUCUAGAGGCCGCGGGGACGGGUAGCCUCUGCCCGCGCGCCUCCCCAAGCGCCCGGUUUUCCCGAGCUUCUUCACGGUGAGAAAUUGGAGCCUAGGUCUUGAAGCCUGGACACCGCUUCAAAAUGGAGAAAGUGUCUCCUUUAGUCCACGUGGUGCACAUGGUGCCUCAUGCAGCGGAGGAAACUGAAGAUUACGGCUUCCGACUCCAUUUUCCUAGUCGCUGUGCUCACGCCUCUUGCACCUGGCUUUGUCCUCCCGCCCUGAGUCUCCUGAUUAACAGGAUGGGAAAUCGAGGCAAGAAGAGACAAGGCGGCUUCUAAAAUACGGGGAUUCAGUCCUACACCAAAUGUCUCCCAGUGUGGAAUUUUUUAAAAAGAUAUUGAUCCAGUAGGCCAGGUGAGGUGGCUCACGCCUGUAAUCACAGCACUUUGGGAGGCCGAAGCGGGCGGAUCACCUGAGGUCGGGAGUUCGAGAUCAGCCUGACCAACAUGGAGAAACCCCGUCUCCACUAAAAAUACAAAAUUAGGUUGGCGUGGUGGCGCAUGCCUGUAAUCCCAACUACUCAGGGGGCUGAGGCUGGAGAAUCGCUUGAACCCGGGAGGCGGAGGUCGCGGUGAGCCGAGAUCGCGCCAUUGCACUCCAGUCUGGACAACAAGAGCAAAACUCC
rnacentral:lncRNA from 1 species